GUGCCAGCAGCCGCGGUAAGACAGAGGGUGCAAACGUUGUUCGGAAUUACUGGGCGUAAAGCGCGUGUAGGCUGCUCUGCAAGUCGGAUGUGAAAGCCCUGGGCUCAACCUAGGAAGUGCACUCGAAACUGCAGAGCUUGAGUCUCGGAGAGGGUCGCGGAAUUCUCGGUGUAGAGGUGAAAUUCGUAGAUAUCGAGAGGAACACCGGUGGCGAAGGCGGCGACCUGGACGAUGACUGACGCUGAGACGCGAAAGCGUGGGGAGCAAACAGGAUUAGAUACCCGGGUAGUCC
rnacentral:rRNA from 1 species